rnacentral:rRNA from 1 species
CCUACGGGAGGCAGCAGUGAAGAAUAUUGGUCAAUGGACGAGAGUCUGAACCAGCCAAGUAGCGUGAAGGAUGACUGCCCUAUGGGUUGUAAACUUCUUUUAUAUGGGAAUAAAAUGUUCCACGUGUGGGAUUUUGUAUGUACCAUAUGAAUAAGGAUCGGCUAACUCCGUGCCAGCAGCCGCGGUAAUACGGAGGAUCCGAGCGUUAUCUGGAUUUAUUGGGUUUAAAGGGAGCGUAGGUGGAUUGUUAAGUCAGUUGUGAAAGUUUGCGGCUCAACCGUAAAAUUGCAGUUGAAACUGGCAGUCUUGAGUACAGUAGAGGUGGGCGGAAUUCGUGGUGUAGCGGUGAAAUGCGUAGAUAUCACGAAGAACUCCGAUAGCGAAGGCAGUUCACUGGACUGCAACUGACACUGAGGCUCGAAAGUGUGGGUAUCAAACAGGAUUAGAUACCCUGGUAGGC